GACUCUUAGCGGUGGAUCACUCGGCUCGUGCGUCGAUGAAGAACGCAGCUAGCUGCGAGAAUUAAUGUGAAUUGCAGGACGCAUUGAUCAUCGA
rnacentral:rRNA from 1 species